CACACUAGUGGCUCCUGUUUCUCUUCCCUUUGUUGCUUCAUGGAGGGACUUGGCCAGGACUGAAAAGUGAGGGAUCAAUAUAUGGCAGAAUUCAGCAGCACACAGGAGCUCUCAGAUCUAGCAGUGGGUAGAAGGGACAGGAACUGAGCAGACUGCUUGUCCACUCAGAGCCCCUCAGGGCCCAGUUGCCUUUAUCUCUGAGACAGAAGUGGAGGCCCUUGACUUUUUUCCUCGACUCUUCUUUGGGACUUUGUAGUCAGUUUCACCUAGGAGAGUGAGAAGCAGCUGUCCCCUCUGUGCAGUCCUAUCAGAUUGCCCUGGCCAGCAGCAGAUCAUCUACACCUGGGAGAUCCACACCAGAGGCAGCAUCCACAGAGUUUGCUGGGAAAGGCUCGAAUCAGAAGCCAGUGCCUCCCAGAAAAUGGUUGGUGAGUUUUUGAAGCCCUGUGGCAGCCUGGUCUGUAGGUCAACUGGCCUUUAGUUGGGGACAUUCUUUCUUCCAGUGGCCCUCUAGAUGGCAGUAGGCACAUCGGUUUAGUCUCAGCCUUGUUUGCACAUAAGGUGGUCCUUCCAUCCAGAACUUCCUUUGGACCUGCAUCUGGCCGCAAUUUUGAUAUUUGCCUCGACUUUGUCCUGGUGGAACCCCCUGUUUGGUGACUUCUGGGUUUGUGGCGAUGGUAGUCGCAAGGAGAUCCCUCUUCUUCUUUGUCUUCUGGUCUGUCUCUCUUCGAGCCUCUCGGUCUCGGUUGAUGAAAAGUAAGGUGGCCACUUCAAUCAGCCCCCUGGCAUUCUUCCCAGUAAAGCCCUCUAGUUUUGGAGUUUUCAUCAAACAUCUCCCUGGACUUGUCCCACCAAAGCUGUGUUGAUCAUCCGCUGCUUGUCUGGUGCCUUAGGCUCAAAGGGAGUAGAGUCAGAGGCCUCAGAUAGUUGUUCAUAGAACUGGCUGGGGCUUCUGCCAGGCUUUUGGAGUACUUCUGAUAUUUUGUUCAUGUUUAGGGGUCUUUUUUCCCUUUUCUUUUGAACCACCAAUGACAGCCUCUUGAUAUCUUUUGAUCUUUAGAAGGUCUUCCUCUUUGUUAGAAUCUCAGCGGGUCUGUGUCAGGGAAUUGGGUCUGGGCAGAGGCUUGAAUGUUGCCUCGUGUUUAGUUGUUAACAGACCUUCAUUUUUUUAAAUAUAUAGAUAUUUUAAUUGUAGAUAGACACAAUAACUUUAUUUUAUUUAUUUUUAUGUGGCUGAGGAUUGAACCCAGGGCCUCACAUGUGCUAGGUGAGCACUUUACUGCUGAGCCACAACCCCAGCCCCCGCAACAGACCUUCAUUUUAUUUAUUUAUCUGCCAUGCUGAGAAUUGAACCCAGUGCCUCACACAUGCUAGGAAAGUGCUCUACCACUGAGCCCCAGCCCUAGCCCCUCUCUAGCCAUUUUAGAGCUGCUUGGGUCAGUCACCUGUGUUCCUCUGUCAACCCAACAGUGAGUCUGGAUAAUGGAUUACAUCAAGUCAUCAUGGCCUGGGGCCUCUCCAUGUAGGAGGGAGUAUGAUUUUUCAAGUUUAAGAGAUCAAUGGUGGUGAAGGGCUGGCAACAAAAAUGCAUAGUUCCCCUUGGAUGUUUCCCUCCAGGUCAAACUAGGCAGGACCUUUAGUCUCUCUUAAGGGCAUUUGGAGGGCUCUCAUCUGAGUUAUGGCUCUGGUCUUGGGACAAGUCUUUGGGAGUCUUUGGCUCUGGGGAAGCCUCUGGCACUGAGGACAUCAAAAAGGAAGGAGUAGCUGGGCCAUAAUCUGUUGCCUCUGGGGACAAAGGGGCUGAGAGGGCAGAAGGUUGUUUUGGUGGUCUUGGCAAAGUCAGGUAGAGUGGCACAUAAGGUGGUGGGCUCUCUUCUGGCUCACUGAACAAACUGGUUUCCUUUCUCUUCUCUUUGUCAAGUUCCGCCCCCACCCUUAGUUCCCUUAGAUUGGGUCUUAGAGGCCACCAUAGUUUGAGCUAACAUCAACUCAUCAACUUGGACUGUCCUUCUAAACAUGCUCUCAACCAAGGAGGCUGUUUCUAUAUUAUCUCUUGCCAGCAAGGGAAUUGGUCUGGGUGUCCAGGGGGUUCCAAUAACUAUUAAAAGGACUUCACUAAUGACACUUUUGUCUAAAGAUCCUCUGGUAGCCAUCCCACCUCAAAUGUUGGCCAUUCUAAUUUGCAGAGAGUAUGUGACCUUUGUGGAGUAAGUUUCACCCCAUAGUCAAACUUUAAAACCUUUCUUAAAGUUUUCUUACAUUUCAAACAACUCAGUUUACUUUGUGUACCUCCCAUGUUCCACUCUGCAUCUGUGUCACACACUUAGGACAAGACUUGCUUUGUCCAUAUCUAGCUGUUCUCCUCUUGGGGACUUAGAUAGGGUCCUCUUAGCUUUGUGGGUCGGUAUCAAUCCCAAUCUGGAGCUUCCACCUAGGUGCUGGUUGGUGGGAAUCCACCUCAGAGUGUAUGAGGUACCAUGGAACUGCAGAUCGGGACUCUGUGCUCGCCUCAGCCCUCGGGUUGGGUGGGAACCCUUCCCUGGUGCUUCUCAUUCACCCACUUUCACACAGACCUGAUCAGAGCAAAAUUUCUAUACUGCCUCAAUUCCAAAAAUCCAAGACCAAAGGAGGAAUCAUGGUUUCCCCUCUGCUCGCUGAACCCAAACAGAGACUACUUGGGCGACUCCCCAGGUCCUUUUCACCUCCAGCUCUUUCUCAGGAACCCUCAAAAUUUGAUCAAGACUCUCUCCCACUGGCUUAGGCCUCUAUGGGGAAGUCAGGUGGGAUACCAUUGAUGGACGGGUCCUACCUGCUCAGUCAGGCGGUGCUCCAAGUUGCCUGUUCCUGGUUCCUGUUCCUGGUGGGUUCCGUUAUGCUUUGGGGCAGUCCCUCUGGGGCACCAGGUGAGUUGCCCCAUCUAUAGGCAAAGUUGCUUGUGGUGCAUCAUGAAAAGCAUUGUCCUCCAAGGAAGCCAGACCCCGGAGACAAGAGAGGCAGAAAAGCCAUCUUCACCUCCUCUGUCCCAUCUGGGUUGCCAAAUGAUAUAGGACAGAUGAGGUGGACAACUGAGAAAUUUUCAGGAAGCAGGUUUAUUUCAGCUGCAGGGGUCUAGGGAGGCUAAUGUCUAAAAAUCUCUGAACCCCAAGUCUGGAAAUUCUUUUAGAUUUAUACUCAGUGGGGUAAUUGCAUGACAGUGAGAGUGGGAGGGAGCAUGACAGUUACUCUUUGUCCCAUAUUCUUAGGUUAGAUAGGGGUUUCACAUGCUUUGUCUGCAAACCUGGCAUUUACAAGAAAAAGGAAGCUUCAAACCUCGUUGAUCUCUCUGCAGAACUCCUGUGAAAUCCUGUUGACACUCUUUGUAAAAAUAUUUCUGACAUGAAGAGAAGCUUAAUUAUGGUGGGGGGUCUUUGGGUGAGGCUACCUGGUCUACCUCAUAGCUAUUACUACCACCUACUUGAGAAGGUUUGUGUCACAUAGAAACCCCGACCUGUCAGUGUCCCUCCCCAUUCCACACACCUCUUGCCACCGUUCCUAGGCAAACACGAAUCCUCUUUCUACCUCUGGGUUUGUCUAGUCUGGACCUUUCAUAUAAAUGGAAUCAUGUAACGUGGGGUUUUGUGACUGGGUUCUUGCAAUAAUAUUUUCGAGAUUUAUCUAUGGUCUAAUGAAUGGCUACUUGAUGACUAUUUGUGGCUGAGUCACACUGUACCACUACACCAAACUUCACCUAUCCGCUCGCUCACAGCUGGAGGAUAUUUGGGUUGUUUUCUCCUUUGGGCUGUCACGAAUAAUGCUGCUGUAAACAUUCAUGGGCAGGUUUUUAUAUGAACAAGUAUUUUCAAUUCUCUUGAGCACAUUCCUAGGAGUGGAAUGUCUAGGUUGUAUGGUGGCUCCUUCCCAUUUUGAGAAAAUUCCAAACAGCUUUUCAGACUAGCUGCAUUGGACACUCCCACCGGCAGCCUCUGCGAGUCUCCUUGUGCCUGUGUCCCCCAGCACCUUUUGCAUCCACCUUUUGGGGGCACACAGUGGCAUCUCAUGGUGGUUUGGAUUGUCCCUCCCUAAUGACUAAUGAUGUGAAUGGUCUUUCCG
rnacentral:lncRNA from 1 species